rnacentral:rRNA from 1 species
UGGGGAAUUUUGGACAAUGGGGGCAACCCCGAUCCAGCCAUGCCGCGUGAGUGAAGAAGGCCUUCGGGUUGUAAAGCUCUUUCGGUGGGGACGAAACGGUUCGUGACAACACCACGGACUAAUGACGGUACCCGCAUAAGAAGCACCGGCUAACUACGUGCCAGCAGCCGCGGUAAUACGUAGGGUGCAGGCGUUAAUCGGAAUUACUGGGCGUAAAGGGUGCGCAGGCGGUUUGUUAAGACAGGUGUGAAAUCCCCGGGCUUAACCUGGGAAUUGCGCUUGUAACUGGCAGGCUAGAGUGUGGCAGAGGGGGGUGGAAUUCCACGUGUAGCAGUGAAAUGCGUAGAUAUGUGGAGGAACACCGAUGGCGAAGGCAGCCCCCUGGGUUAACACUGACGCUCAUGCACGAAAGCGUGGGGAGCAAACAGGAUUAGAUACCCUGGUAGUCCACGCCCUAAACGAUGUCAACUAGUUGUCGGGGAAGCAAUUCCUUGGUAACGAAGCUAACGCGUGAAGUUGACCGCCUGGGGAGUACGGCCGCAAGGUUA